GUGUCCCACACCAGAGCACACCGUGACUCCAAACCAUUGCCUGGCCUCUGCCUAUAAUGCUGCCAGCAGGCUGACUGCUGGCAUGAAGUGAGUUGCACAGUG
rnacentral:snoRNA from 1 species